UACCAGCACCCCGAGUGGUCGGGACGUUUAUUGGGGCCUAAAGCAUCCGUAGCCGGUUCUACAAGUCUUCCGUUAAAUCCAACUGCUUAACAGGUGGGCUGCGGAAGAUACUAUAGAGCUAGGAGGCGGGGAGAGGCAAGCGGUACUCGAUGGGUAGGGGUAAAAUCCGUUGAUCCAUUGAAGACCACCAGUGGCGAAGGCGGCUUGCCAGAACGCGCUCGACGGUGAGGGAUGAAAGCUGGGGGGAGCAAACCGGG
rnacentral:rRNA from 1 species